rnacentral:rRNA from 1 species
CAGCCGCCACGGUAAGACGAACCGUGCGAACGUUAUUCGGAAUUACUGGGCUUAAAGCGCGUGUAGGUGGGCCGCCACGUCGGUUGCUGAAAUCCCCCGGCUUAACCGGGGAACUGACAUCGAUACGAGCGGCCUUGAGGGGGGUAGGGGGGUCUGGAACUUCCGGUGGAGCGGUGAAAUGCGUUGAGAUCGGAAGGAACGCCCGUGGCGAAAGCGAGGCCCUGGACCCUUACUGACGCUGAGACGCGAAAGCCAGGGGAGCGAACGGGAUUAGAUACCCCCGUAGUCCCUGUCUCUUAUA